AAUUCUCCACAAUAUAAUGGGAUGAUUUAUAAGGUGGAAGAUGAUAUACUCUACUAAAUGUUGCUACAUUUUGCUAUUGACUUGUAUGAUAUUCCCAUAUUGGCAGUAGUUAUGCAAUUUUUAAGUGAAUGUAUUUGCACCUGCGUAUAAGGCUACUAUCAUGCUUAAUGUGUUUCUCUAUCUGAACCUCUUUGAUAGAGAGGGGGAGAGAGUCAGCGACAAGUAUUCUUUCUUAGUUGUCCUCAGUAACCAUAAGGGUUACUUUUACAACAUCUUAUAUGCAAAAGCAGAAGAAAGAUCAUGUCACCUAUACUGCAGCGGAACAAAAUUUUGUUCUGAACUGAACAGUAAUCUGAAGCCAUGCUUAGGUUGUGUCCCCAAAUCUGUCAUUGUGACACUAUAACUACAAUUGGAUGGAAGGGUUGGUAACUCAAAAUCAAAUCCCAAAUCCUCUUGAACAGUUUUAAAUCUUAUCUACACCCAUUUCUCAGUGUCACAUUGCUUUAACAAUCACUUGAACUGUAAAGAUUUAAGAUUUACAACAAUAAAAACCCCACAUAAAGUGCAGUAAUAUCAGAUUCUGUCUAAUUUGCUCUCCAAUCCGGCUACUACCUUUUGUUUGUCUCUAGCUGGCGAUGUAUGUAGUCCAGAACAAACUUUCCGCCUCUUUCUGACAUUAUAUGAAGCAUAAUGUAUUUGGUCAUUACAAAUCUAGUCAUAGAAUUCAUAACAGACAUGUACUGUCACAUACACGUGUACUCCAUGUUCUACUUCUAGUUAUACGGUUUAUACCAAUCUACUGCUAAUGUAAUUGCUUUCACAAGCAUGGGGUCUAUAGAAACAUCUCUUCGCAGAGACAUACAUAGAAGUGGAAAGAAAUAGACACAAUAAAAAAGAAAUGUGAAAUAAGAGAAAAGGAAAUAAAAGUUUACAAUAAACACCCUUUCUGAUGUUCCUCGCAUUCUGGUUCUCAUUAUUUUUAUUAGCACCUGCCUAUACGUACGCUAUGCUAGAAAUGCAGAGGAAACUACAUAAGACUUUUGUGCCACAAAAGAGGAGAGUUUGACAUGUUCUAUCCUCUCUCAAGGUCACAUUUAAAGAUAUUUCUUUUCCUACUUCUGCAAGGAGGUCCAUGCCAUGCCUUAUUUGUUUCAACACGCAAUACUAAUCUAGUCUUCCUGAGUCUUUCAUCUAUUCGUUCUUCUAAAGGUCAAAAAGCAACAUAGAAAGUGUGUAUAAGACCUUUCCCUUAGAUAUUAUAGCUACUACAAAAUAAUUCAACACGAAAGCAAUAAUUUCUUUAUACUGAUGAAUAGGAUUUGAAAACAAAUUUAACAAUUCAUUAGGACGUUGUACCGGAAACAGCCCAACCCAGUAUCUUAUAGUAAUAUUGGGGGGGGGGGGGGGGGGGGGGUCGGUUACAGUCUUCUCUUCUAGAUUCAAUUGUNNNNNNNNNNNNNNNNNNNNNNNNNGANGGGGGGGGCUUAACAGNCUUCUCUUCAGUAUUCAAUUGAUGUUACGUCAGUUAAAGUUUAAGGAAUUCUAGAGGAAAAAAUUUCUUUGGACAACAUUCUAAAGCUUACCAUGCAUUACUGGUUUUCAUUCUGCAAUGGCAACAUUAUUGCUCUUUUUGAAAGGCAGAUAGUAGGUAUUCCCAUGUCUUCAUGACCAUUCACCCAUUACUAGUGAUUAGGAAAAAAUCCGAACAAUGGCUACUUGCCUAGAGAAAAUAAUAUGAUAUUUACAUAACUUGCUUUCUUAUAAACAAUGAGAACAUGCUUUCUUUAAACAAAAUUGACUCAGCAAUUUGAUCCAUACUGAUUGAUGAAUGAAGCUAGAAUAACAGGAGGAAGAGAAAAACCUAUAUGUAGGUCCCAAUUUCACUGGGAUGUUGUUGUUGUUGUUGUAGGUCCCAAUUUCAGAGCGAACUCAAUAACAGCAGCCAUUCACUUUGUUAAGCUUUUUCAUGCAAUUAAGCUCAAGUAACUAGGAGAAAAAAGAAGAAAAACUACAAUUUAGGCCGUUAUACAUUAGUGAGAGGCUUGAUGAACAUUGACCGAUUUAAUUGUUUCUGUCCUAAUUCACAAAGUAGAUAAUUAUUAGCACGACAAGUAUGGGUGAAGUUGAUGCAAUGUGAAACUUCUAGAUAUAGAAUAAAUUUUCCUCUUUUUUUUCAUGUGAUGAGUGUCUGCCUAGGAUAGAUGAUAAAGAAAACAGAGCAACUGGAACUUCAUAACAACUUUAUGAUACUGCAAUGAUCAAUGUAUAUGAAUACCUUUCAAGUCAGCACAUCAAUCAGACAAAUCUGAACAGUUUUGCUAUUUUGGCAGCAUGAAAUCGGUGAUUGAAAGAUACAACAAAGCAAAGGAGGAGACUCAUAAAUUGGGAGAUCCAAUUUCCGAGGUCAAGGUAGGUUUUGCUAGCUAAUUUGCAGUCAACUAGUCAAAGGAAAUAAAGCAUAAUAGUUUCCUGCAUACUUGUUAAAUAGACGUAAGGCCUAACUCAACCCAAAAGCUAGCUCAAGAGGUGAGGAUUGCUCAAGUCCAUAUAAGGAGACCACUCAUCCCCUUCAUUGUCGAUGUGGGACUCAACAUCCCCUCUCAAGCCUAGGACUGGACAUCUGUAGCGUGGACAAUUAUGGGGCCUAACAUCGGAAAAUCGGGAUGGGUCCUGCUCUGAUACCAUAUGGAACAACCCAUCCCGCUAGUGAUAUUAUCCGCUUUCGGCCUAGGCCUUCACGGGUUUAAAACGCGUCACUAGAGUCUAAGGCAUGUCUACUUAUAUAGACAACAUCUCUCUCGUAUUUUGUUGAUGUGAAAUUUGCCUAGGGUGUUAAGGACUCAGUUUACCCCACCACCGUUCAAGGUUGCACGCGGAGUGACUCUGAUACCAUGUUAAUAGGACAUUGGGCCUAAAUCAACUCCAAAAGCUAGCUCAAGAGGUGAGGAUUGCCCAAGUCCAUAUAAGGAGACCAUCCAUCCCCUUCAUUAUCGAUGUGGGACUCAACACUCCUAUUAAUUGUACAUUAUUUAUGAAAUACCAAAAAGAACUUCCUUUCAUGCUAAAAUCCUUAGGGUUCUCUUGUCCUCCAAGCAUAGUGUCUAAAUUAGAAUACACUCUGAAAAGAACAAAGUGGUAUGACCUCAGAAACAAAACCAGAGUCAUAAUUUGGUCUGCUAAGGAAAACAAAGAAUAGGACUAGGCAUUUGACUUUUCAGAAGAUUACAAGUCGUGGCACUAGCAGGGAAAAAGUACAUGACUUUAAAGCACUUAUUUUUAUAACUGUGGUGUCCGGGCCAACUUGCGUGCACCUCAACUAAUUCCACAAGGUACCUCUUAUCUUCCACCAACACAGGUACUGGGUAACUCUGUCCAUCAAGGCUUGGACAGAUGGAAAAAAAUCACCUACUGUUUUUACCUCCGCUGGGAUUUGAGCCUUUACAGCACAUUAUACUGGUAUCAAGCUUUUUUGACAACGUAAAAGAAUCAGGACUUUACAGCACAUUCUUUCAUGCAUCUGCAGUCUUCUUGUUUGUUUUGUGCACUAAAGCAUACAUCUUAUAAGCGUCUUUACUAUAGAAAGCUUUGCUUCUUUGAGUGCCAAAAUGUUUCUGCACAUCUAAAUUAUCUUGACGUUCAAUAGUAUCCAAGUUUAAGACACCAAAACUGUUAUUUUUACCUUAUAACCGGAGGCGGAGCCAGAAAAAUUUAUAGGUUCUAAACUUGCUAUCGAGCCCAUAACUCGUCUUAGUUACUGGAUUUACAAUUAAAUAACUAUGCACAUUUAAUGAAUUUCCUAACACGAAUACAGGGUCUAAGCAAAAGCUACUGAGUUCGUCUGAACCCUAGGUGAUACUCUAACUCCACCCCAACUUACAAUAACAACAAUAAUUAUGCCUCGAUCCCAAGCAAGUUGGUUUCGAUUAUAUGAAUCAUCACUUUUUCAUUUAAGCUAUGAUAAGAAUGGAUCUUUGGCCUAACUCAACCCAAAAGCUAGCUUGUGAGGUGAUGAUUGCCCAAGACCAUAUAAGGAGACCAAGAUACCCAUAACCCACCGAUGUGGGACACAACUCAACACCCCCCCCCCCUCUCAUGCCCAGGUCUGCAACUGGAGCGUGGACAACAUAAAUGGGGGCCCAACAUCGAUAACAAUAAAUUGGGAUGGGUCUGACUCUGAUACCAUGAUAAGAAUGGACCUUGGGCCUAACUCAACCCCAAAANNNNNNNNNNNNNNNNNNNNNNNNNGCUAGCUUGUGAGGUGAGGAUUGCCCAAGACCAUAUAAGGAGACCAAGAUACCCAUAACCUACCGAUGUGAGGCACAACUUAACAAGCUCAAUUCUUGUUAUCAUUGUCCCAAUUAAAAAAAUAAAGUGAUGAAUAAGUUAAAUAUAUAUAAACAACUGUAAUAAUAACAAUACUAAUAAUAAUAGUAAUAACAACAAUAUUAGAAGUUCUUCAACAAGACUUGAAAAGAUACUCAACUGUUAGUAACAAGCACAAGCAAAAUAGUAGGUCGUCUGUGUGAAGUUCUCCCAGGAAGACAGAGUCAAGAAUCUAUAGACAAUAAUAGUAAGGCUGCCAGCAGACCAUUAGCAUGACAAGAGAAUUCUCAAGGACAAUUUAUACUAGCAAAAUUAAUAAAAAUUGAAUGAUACCAUGAACUUGGUUCCCAAUUCUACAGAACUUGGAUGCCAGCAGCUACACAGUAUUCCAAUUCUACCUCUCUUAGUUGUACCCGUGAUCUGGAUUGAUUCCAUGAACUUGGAUCCCUGGAUCAUUGGAUUAUGAUUCUAAUAUUGAGGACAAGAACAUGCAUGCAAUGAAAGGAUGCGUCAAUCAAUUCCAGAACCAAAUGGGCAUAGAGAAUGGAGAUCCUCAUUAGCUGAUACCUGUUCUACCAUCCCCAUUCCACCCCGUCUAUUUGGAGAAAUGGAGGAAUGAACUAAAGAUGGAACCUAUGAUGAAUUUCAUUAACGGCAAAGGACCAAUACAAUUCCAUUAGCGUUGUGGCAAUCGGAAGAAAAUCUAGAAGAGUGGGAACAUGCAUAUCUUCCACUACUGGAAGCACAACAUAGCUACAGAGAUGGUGCCAAGAAGGAAGACUUUAUAAUAUAACAAGAAGAAAGCAUCACAAAUGGCUUAAUGGAUCAUCAGGGAAGCAACUUUUAUAGGGUUACUUCUGCAACUCCACUUUAUUUCGUUAUGGGAACUGAAACAGCAACAACAAAAAAGCACAUAUGAAAAAGACAAGCAACAUCUAUAAACUGGCAAGUGAAAAGAGUUGUCAAGGCAUUCCCAGUAAAAAAGCUCUAAACUGUUUGAAACCGAGAUAAUUUCAUCUUAAGCACAAACGACUUUGGCUUUGUCAUUUAGGUAUACAUUGUAGGGCACCUAAGAGGGAGUAGAUAUUCAUGCUAGCACAGGGCAGGAAGUUUGAUGAACUAAUGCAGGUCUAGCAAUUGGAACAAGGACUUUAGACAAAUUAAUGUCCUCCCACAAAAGAGAUAGACACACUUUAGAUGCGCCAAUCAAGAACCUUAUGCAAUGACUGCAUUUAUCACUAGCAUUUUGGAAGCAAUGGGAAUACCAUUUCAUGACCUGUGCUCGACAAAAAGUAGCAAAUAAGGAACGACACUCAUAUAUUGAUGAGUCUAUUCUUUUAGACCCAUCUGCUGUCUUCAUACUGCAAAUCCUGGCGAUGACUACACACAAAUGCUAAGAUAAAGAAGCUCAAAAUGCUCUUAGAAACAUGCAAGUUUUUGACAGUUAAUGGUUCGAAGGAUCAGACGACUGUCCGAGAAACUUAAGAGCUUUUUAGUCAUUCUGGUGCUUAGCACUUUUUCUCUAGGAACUAAAAAGUAUCAGACAAUAUUUCGCAGCAGUUAUCCUGGAUUAUGACCAUUAGGGUCACUCCAUUUCGUUAACAGUGGAAUUAAUCUCUUUACAUAUUUACCCUCUAAUCAUAUCCCAGCUAAUUAGUUUCGAAUGUGGCACUAUUGAUGAUGCAAAUUGAAGCCUGUAAAGAAUUAUCUUCUAGAAGAGAAGAUAGUAAAACCAAGGAUGCUAAACUUUAUACCAAGAUGACAACAAACAUGGAGCUGUUACAAACUACCCACUCGUUGCAUUAUCAUAAUGACAUUCUGGGAUACCACUGAUUGAAGGUCUCUGGUUCAAACAUUAUCCAGCUCUAUAAGAGGAUAACGAACCUUAGCUUAGUCAUGCCAUCUUUCCACUAUUUCGAGAUUAAUCAUCUAAUCCUUCUUUGCAAUUGCUGCAGGGGAAACAGAAGUCAGAAGGUGUGUGUUAUUUGGACUAUGAGAAGCUGCAAGAGAAUAAAAAUUUCCAUCAAAAAAUAGUUCGUUCUGCUUUACAGAUCAGUAUUCAAUGAUGCAGGUCAAAUUAUAGGUGAAGAAAAUGUGAUUAAAGGGAAAAUAACAGAAACUCUGGACCCUCACGUUUUCAGAAGUUACAUGGCCCUGAUACUACUGCCAAACCGAAGUGAGGUACCAGUCUCUUAUAUAGCUGCAUUAGAUCUCAGCAUAACACAGAAACUCUUCCUGUGUUCUGGGGAUUUUUAUCUGGCAGAGUGCCAUAAUAGUUCAGUUGGAGCAAGGAGAUCUGGAAAUGGUUGUUCUGUAUUUUCUGGUAAGAUUGAUCACAGAAGCAGCUCUUGACCCCUCUUAUCAGGUGCCUUUUAACCCAAAUAUGACUGCUCCAUGCUGCCAUGAUUUAGCAUAUACUGAGAUUUGUCCUCAUAUGCUAAUGCCACCAUCAUGACAUCCAAUGCUCAUGUCUAUGGCACUUAUAACACUACACAAAUUCGAGUACGAGCAUCUCGUUAGAACUAGAGCAUAAGUUCCAAUCGGGAUUCCAAGUCCUAAUGUCCUGUACAUCAAGAAAAGCAGAAAAGUUUACUAUAUUAUAGGAACCUAAGCGAUUCAGCUAAUGCAAAAACCCUGAGUAAAAGGAUGAGGCUAGACUUGACUGGUCACAAUUUAGAGCUACAUCUGAACCCAAGAGAUACAAUCUUGCAAAUCCUUUUCCAUUAUAAGUCAUACCAUCAUUUGAACCAAAUGUCAAGUACUGUCAACUCACUGAAGAUGCAACAACUUCCGGAGAUGCAAAAACAAUUAGCCAAAGGAUACCCCGGCUCUCAUGCUGCAAACCUAGAUGCAUGCUAAUCAUGUACCUUAUACUCGAAUCACUUAAAUUCUCAAAUAACUUAAAUUCCCACAAUUAUUUGCUUAAAUCAAAGAAUAGAAUAGAAGCGCCAACAUGCAGAAACAGGGGUAAUGGGUAGGAGCUAGUGUAGAACCCUAAAGACAGGCAUACACAAUUUGUUAAAAGAUUCCCUUUUUCUCAAACUCAAAAUCUUCAUCCAUGAUAAACGUUGACCGAUUUGGACUAUCAUACAAGAGUCGUCCAUCUCAUUCACUUUAACAGGUAAUAACUAAUUUAACAACCCCUUGCAUUUCCAAUUAAUUUCACUCCUCCAUAAGUCUAAUACAUUUUCCUGUCGAGAGAAAAAUUCAUCUUAAUUUGCUAUUUAACUAUAGCAAGACAAACACAAGUCAUAUUUGGACGUAGAUUAAAUCUUCACCUCAAAAUUCAACUGCUGGAGAUUGGAACAUAAAUGGUUUUAUGUAUAUUUUUCACCUUGAUACCAUGAUAUCACAUAUAAUGCAAUUACCUAUUUAUAUAAAAACUUCUCAAUACAACCUCAAAGUUACAAGGUGUAACAGAAUAUAAUGGGACAAGUUCUUACUGUAACUAGAAAAUAGAAAAAUUAUGCAAAGAAUCACUCUGGUACUCUUCCCAGAUACAUGGCUUACCUACCCACUCACCAUUCUUGGAAAAGAAUCAAAUCGAGGGUUCGAACGAGAUCCAAUUUUUAGAUGUCUACCUCCUUAUCUCUGGUGUCCAAUUUAUCUAAGUUGCUCCGACAUGGCAGUUUAGGUGUCGUACCUGUGUCGACACGACGGUGUGGGUAUGAGAUCCGUACUGGAUCUGGUCAAACAAUUUCGGGUACUUUGACCACGACGGAUGAAAAAUUCGAGAUGAGAUACAAUUUGGUUCCCGAAAUCAGAAUCCUAAUAAUUAGGGUAAAGUUGAAGAAAAUAACAUACAUUUUCUAAGAAAUCAAUCCAUUACUUAUCUACAACUUGAGAAUAAAAAAGAAAUCCACACUUUACAAUCUAUACUUAAGUAUUUCACAUAAUUUCUCAUAAUUUAAAGACAUUUUUUAUAUAUUUUUUUUGAAUUAUUUUUAGCCGGAUCCCUGCACCCGUAUCCGUACUAGGAUCCGUAUUCCCGAAUCCUAGAAUUUACAUCUCGAAGGAUCCGAUCUCUAGAUCUGUACCCGUGUCGGACAUCCGUACGAGUGUCCGAGCAACUUAGCAAUUUAUAACCUUAGAUUCAUUAUAAAUUCGCUGACCUAUUAAACUGUAUCUAGCCAUAAAGAAAUUGCAGCCUUGUGAGAAACUAAGCACACAUGUGCACUUGCAAGUAAGUUACACACAAUGAGGGACAACUUUUAAAAAUAACACAUCGACAAUACCUAUACUACAACUGUAGCUAGUCAUCGUAAAAGAAUUUGAGCAUCAAAUCCAAAAUAGCAAGGCAAUGAGUGGAGUAACUUGAGAUCUUAUAAACCAUUUGGAUGCCAUAGGCUUUAUAUAACUCAACACCUUCCCGCACAUAUAACCUAAUUUUGGAAUUUACACUAUGGACUUUAAUAUGAACUUACUAGCGAGAAUGGAUUUGUCGAAAUUCGCUUCCGUACUAUGUUAAAGAAUUUGAGUACCGGCUCAAAAAUACUAAAGUAAUAUAUGAAUUACCCCAUAACCUUCAUAAACACCUACAUAUGCCCUUGUAUACUUGAAUUAGGACAUGUUAUAAACUAAACACUCAUUUACCAAACCAAAAAGUGGCCUUUUGCCUCGUCAUGCUAUCUCAAUGCAGUGAAAUUUAUAGUCAUCCAUUCCAAGCCCCAAGGGUUCUAUCUUGCACCAACAGAUGUGGUUGCAACCUUAAGUUGUAUUACUAGGUGAAUGAAAGUACUAGAUGACGAACCAAUAGUGUCAAUUGUCGUAAAAAAAAAUUAAAAUAAUAUAGUAAAUACAAUUCAAAAAUGACUGUGAAAAGGACUAAAUACUUUUACAAAAACAAAUAGACAUAUUUUACUUUUGUUUGCUUUUGAAAUAGUAUUUUUUUUUGGGGGGGGGGGGNNNNNNNNNNNNNNNNNNNNNNNNNNNNNNNNNNNNNNNNNNNNNNNNNNNNNNNNNNNNNNNNNNNNNNNNNNNNNNNNNNNNNNNNNNNNNNNNNNNNNNNNNNNNNNNNNNNNNNNNNNNNNNNNNNNNNNNNNNNNNNNNNNNNNNNNNNNNNNNNNNNNNNNNNNNNNNNNNNNNNNNNNNNNNNNNNNNNNNNNNNNNNNNNNNNNNNNNNNNNNNNNNNNNNNNNNNNNNNNNNNNNNNNNNNNNNNNNNNNNNNNNNNNNNNNNNNNNNNNNNNNNNNNNNNNNNNNNNNNNNNNNNNNNNNNNNNNNNNNNNNNNNNNNNNNNNNNNNNNNNNNNNNNNNNNNNNUUAACGUGAUAUAAAUGCUAGAAAGCAACAGCAGCUCAUUAUUUUCUUUAAACCAAUUUUGAAAGGCUUGUUAUGGCUUUUGAUAAGUGAAACGAUCUUAUUAACCUUGUCCUGUACCAUCACUAAAAGAGCAAGAGAUAUGUGUUAGAAGAUUAACUUAUCACUAUGCUUAGGCCACCAGAGAGAUGGGUCAUGAAAAAUAAAUCUAAGUAGCAUCUCCAGUGGAAUGUGGCAACAAAAGUUGAGCUUGGUUUGCUAGUAAUUCUGCAUUACUAUAGUCAUAACACAAAAAAUCAUCUAUUGAUUUCUCUCUUAUUGAAUAAAUUUACAAAUAGUAUUUCUUUUUUGUUGCAGUUUUGGCAGAGGGAAGCUGCAUUGCUGAGGCAACAACUAGAGAACCUGCAAGAGAAUCAUCGGUAAGCUCUUCUUAGCAUAAUUUUUCAUGUUGUGAGUGAAUAACUUAUCCAACUACCAAUAGGACUAAACUAAAGGCAUGUUGACCAUAUUGUUAAAUCCAUAGGGUUGGACUUAUUUUGGUAACUUGAUGCUCCUUGUAUUUUUAUUUUAGUUAGUGAAUCCCAAACCAAACCCCUCCACAGAGGCCAACAAUGGAACUUUCCACUUUCCCUUAGGUGACUCGAUCUCCAAACCUCUUGAUUGGAAUUGGAAUGUCCGUGCCCAAUUGGUGACUCGAAUGCCCUUAGUCUUGGUUGGAAUUGUAAUACUCUCCUGGUGGCACUAUUGAUUUUUGAGAAUUACAAGUGAAUUCCUUUGAGAUGAAGGUAGCCAUUAUCUAAUAUUGAAAUACUGCUCCUCACAGAAGUCAUCUCAUUUAAUAAACCGAAAUCUUUCCUUCUUUGACUUCUUUGAAUACCUAGUCCAUUUUACUUGGAAAGUUUUUUGAAGAACUGUCCCCAAAACAGAUUGUUUUCUUGAAAUCAAACAAAAAUGGUUUCCAAAAAACAAAGCAAUUUAAGGUAGUUUUUUUUCCACAAAACUAGCACAAAUAUUCUUAAAAGCAUAUUUCUCAAAGGUAAUAGUUAAUACAAAUACAUAACGUUUCCCCAAAUUACGGAACUUUCUCCAAAACCUAACUUCCAGGAAUUAAACCAAUAGCAAAUCAAAAUGUCACCUCAGAAUCUUCUAUUCCAUUGAGUAAUCUAUUGGAGCUUUUAUUGUUCCAGAAGAGAUGAAUUAUUCCUUCACUAAACUACUUGUUAUUUAACCGAUCCAAAAAAAAAACACUUGCUAUUUAGCUCUUAGCAAUUUAUCUCAAAAUUUUAUUGAAGUACUUUUUUUUUUAUAAGGUAAUGUAAAUUUCAUUUAAAAAGUACCAAGAAGAUACAGAAAGCAUACAAAACUUCAGCACUGCCGAAAACUAUUACAAUCUCAAAACUUCUAUAAAAUCAAUACUCUUAUUUAGGAAUUCCCCUCCCAAAUAAACUGACUUCCUCUCAGCAUUCCCCUCCCAAAGAAACUGACUUCUCAUGGAAUCAAAUUUCUUUUCCUCACUGACUGGGAUGGGGAAAAGAGACAUCAAAUAUGUAGGAAUUCCAUCCAGCACACUAUUAAUUAAAGUGAGCCUCCCACCUAAGGAUAGAUAUUGAAGUACUUUACCUCCUAAGCUAUCUUUUGAGCACUUUAAGCAUCCUUCUAUGAAAUGCAGGCCCUGACUCCAUUCCAUUGAAUUAUCCCGUAGCUAAGGGCACAAGUUUUCUUUGCUUUUCGUUUUUCUUCUUGCUUGUAUUUCCCAAACUCCACAAUCAAUAUCGCCUCCUUUCCUCUCCUUUUUCUUUUCUUUCUUCCUCCUCUCCCGCACCACCAAUAAACACCCUCAGUCCAUAGCUUAUUCUCCUUCUCAUUUUCCUCUCUACAUAUUGGUGUCAAAUAAAGAUAUAGAGAUAAAGAUAGAGAUAAAGAAAAAGAAAAAGGAAAGCCUUGAUAAGUUGUUUGCUUGUAGCGGGAUAGUGUUUAAAAGAAGAAGAGAAGAGUAGCGGGUAAGAGAUGAGCCAAGAUAAUAACCAAAAAGAGACUAUCAUGAAGGAAUAUAAAAUGGAAAAGUCUCCUUCACUGUAUGAUGAAAGGCUAAACUCAUGUAAAAAGUUGAGCAGGUAAUGUUUGGGAAAGUUCUAGUACUAGAUAGUUCAAGAAAACUACAUGCCUUACUGUUGUUUAUAAGUGGUAAUUCUCUCACUCUAUCUUCUCUCUAAUUCUCUUCUUCAUUAAAAGCCAGGUCUAAUAAAUCUCCUCCCAUCGCCAUCAGAAUCAAUAAGGAAACCAUUUGUUCCAAACUUUGCUUCUGCAAGCCAGGGCAUCGUUGCCACUCUUUCAGCCACAUAAAAAGCCAAAUAAUCUCCACAUCCUACAAUCGAGCGACCUACUAAUCCUGUGUUCAAGUGGACCUCCAAAAUAGGACCAAUUUUGGUGAUUCAUACAUGAUUUUGCUACGAACAUAUCCCAGCAGGACAUAGGGAUACUGGUUGUUAUAUUUAAUUCCAUCAUUACAAUCUUAGUUAUGGCUCAUACCAGAUUAUUAUGGAGCAAACCACAAUCAUAUCAAAUGGAGAUGUAAAGACGAAUGUUUAGAAAAUUCCACAUCAAAAUUGAAGCAACAGAAGAUGUGCAACAUUUGUCUUGUCUGCUCGAGAACAUACAUACAUAAAUGUUCGCUUCAAUGCAUUCACCGGUGCCAGAACAGAUAAAAGGUAUUCAUGUGUAAGGUCAUUGAGAUCAGGUUCACUGCAAAAUGAACGAACCCUGCAAUAACCUUUAGGGGAGAAUUAUUUUCUUUACGUCCCUUUUUCCCGGGGGGUUGUACUUAAUUGGAUUUAUAUAAUACUUAUCUUUUUGAAACUAAAUCUUAUGAAAGCCUCAGCUACCAGAAAAUUAUACAGACCUCAGUUGCCAGUGACAAAGUAACAUACAUUCAUCUACCAGUAUAGUUGUGUUGGAAUCAACAAAAUACCUACUAACUACGUCACGAAAUCUUUCCUGUUUCCUUAAAGUAACAACAUGGGAUAAUAAACUUUUUCACUUUAUUUGAAUAUAGUAUAAGAAGUUCUGAACUGUAAGGUAUAGCCUAUUUUAGUUACUUCUUGAGACACGGAUUUCUUUCCUCUGUACGGCACUUCUCUCAUGCUCAGGCAAUUAAAGAUAUUUUAUUUCCUAGCACAAAGAGAGAAAAACAGCAGCACAUAAACUAAACUUGUGCCAACAAAGGAAACUUCAAAGGUUCUACUAGAGGUAGGUGUGCAAUGUGUAGGGAUGCCCCUCUAUUAUCUUCAUGGAUGUUGACUUCCAAGGUACUUACUUAUGAAGCAGGAAUAACCAGAAAAAUUAGGCCUUAAUUUUCAACCACUUUUCCAGCAAACACUGAAGCGAACAGAUUAGAUAGCUUGAAACAUUUUAGUUUUGAAAUAAGAAUGCUCAAAAACCCAAAUGUCCACUCGAGACUCUCCCAAAAGUAUCAAAUCUGUAAGUGCUAACAGAAAGGCAUUUAAGAUCCUACCAGGCAGGUGGUGUUAGAAAAUGAAAGAGCGAUCUGGAGAAAAUUUUUUAACUUUGGGAACACCUAUUUAUGGGGUUGAAUAUAUUUCUCCAACAUGGGACAGUAUAGCUUAACAUUCUAGCCUGGCCUGCCCCUUUAAACUCAAGGUGGGAAACCAACUUAAGUCGCUUAUUUUGAAUAAAACUUGGAACAGAAUAAAUUUACCUGAACAAUGAAUAGAUUCCUGAAUGGUGAAUAAUUGCCAAAAAAUGAAUGGGAAGAGACACCAUAAGUCCAUACCCCCCCCCCCCCCACACACACACACACAAAAAAAGCCAGAGAAAGUUAUGGUUUAUGUGCAGCACACACAGAAGGAAACCUAUCCUCAAACACGAGAAAGAAAGGCACUAUGAAAAUUUUCCCAGACAUCACCAGUGUAGCAACCAACUCUUAAAGUGGCAGUUGAACAGUAACCAAGUGGUGCCUAAAGAGAACAACAACCGCAAUAUUGGCAGGAAAGAUGUCUACAAAAUUUCUUAUAGCAUGCAAGCCCAAAAUAGUGGCAGGAAAGAGAUGUGAUUCCAUGCCACUGAUUACCCCAAGAACAAUGAUGAGAAAAAUUUAAAAUCGUUAAAGGAAAAACUUUGGUAAGGUGGAUGUUGUUAGGGUCAGACAGCUGGACGAGAAAGUGACUUAGGUCUAUACUAUGAUCGUGGAGUCUCUCAUAACCAGCGAGAAUAUGAGAGAUAUUCUAACUAGGCAUUGAUAUAUUUAGAAGAAGAUACACAUACCUAUGGUGCAAUAAAACUUACACCAACAUUCUACCAAGUGUUGCAUAACAAUAAAAAAGGAUGAGGCAUUCCCGUCGAAAUAUACUUCUUGAAAUACAUUCACUACCCUUAAUCGAUCAAGGGAAACUCAAAUGACUAGCCACUGUAUUCCCUCGACAAGAAUUAUAUUAAGCAACAAUUCACAAUGAACACAGAAUCUCAUAUUAAUAAACUGUUAGCAUGGACUUAAAUGGAAAACCACCUUAUACUUAAUAUAUUACAGUACAAGGUAAACGGGCGGGUAGGAUAUGGUUCGGGUCAAAAACGGGUAAUAAAAAUGAAUAAAUUAUCCAACCCGACCCAUAUUUAAUACGGAUAAAAAACGGGUUAACCGGCGGAUAAUAUGGGUAACCAUAUUAUCCAUGACUUCUUGCAUAUGAUCAAUUUUGGGAGAAUUCUUAGUCUCCCUAACUUGAGGAACCCCCAAUUUGAGGUUUUACAAAUGUAAAAGUUAGACACAUUGGUUAUCCAUUGGUUAUCCAUUUUGUAAAUGGAUAAUAUGGUUCUUAUCCAUAUUUGAUCCGUUUUUAAAAAGUUUAUUAUCCAACCCAUUUUUUAGUGAUAAUAUGGGUGGUUAACUGUUUUCUUUUAACCAUUUUGCUACCCCUAAUUAUAACAAUUACUCUAUAGUAAAUCAGAUGCAGAUCUGGGAGGACUGCACAUGAUGUGCCUCACCAGUAUAAGCUUACAAAACCACUAAAGUUGGAGACUGUGACCUAAUCAUUGAUAAGCUAAUAUCAUAUGGUAUUGCGGAUAUCUGUGGGAGCUCAAACUGUCAAGUUCGUCACACCAAAACACCACGUAUUGUGUAGCUAUAGCUUUUUUUUUCUUUUUUUAUAAGUCAAUAUAGUUACUUCUAGAAGCGAAAUGAAUACUGCUAGUCUGUAGUUAAGUCAUGGAUAUUAUGUUAAAGGCCUAGAUUGGCUUAAAAGAUUGUUUCUCCUGCAGACAAAUGAUGGGUGAAGAGCUAUCUGGACUGAAUGUCAAAGAUUUACAAAACUUGGAGAAGCAACUCGAAAUGAGUCUUCGUGGAGUCCGUAUGAGAAAGGUAUGAACUUUCACCUCCAAAUGUCCCAUAUAUUAUUGUGUAUAAAUAGUACUGACGACCACUACUUUCUGUAGGACCAAAUUAUGAUUGAUGAGGUGCAAGAACUAAACCAAAAGGUCAACCACAUAACUGCAGCCACUUGUUGUCAUUAUCCUAUGAAUUUCUCUGAGAAGCUAAACUCCAUCUGUUUCAAUGCAGGGAAAUCUCAGCCAUCAAGAAAACAUGGAACUUUAUAAGAAGCUAGACCUAGCUCGUCAAGAAAAUACGGAAUUGUAUAAGAAGGUAUCGAUGUAUAUCCCUAGAAAAGAUUUCACUUACGCUAGUAGAUAAUAAUUUCCUAGUGUAUUAAAAAUCAAGACGAAAAACUUUAGUCAUUCUGCUUCAAAAAAAUUUCAUGUUCUGCCGGAAAUCAGGUUUAUGGAACUAGAGAUGCAAAUGCAGUGAGCAGAAAUGCCAUGAGUUCAAACAGUUUACGCGUCAAUGAGGACCCUCAUGCACCUCUCCAUCUCCAGCUAAGCCAGCCUCAGCAACAACACUAUGAAACACCAGGAACUACAAAAUUGGGGUAAUUUUCACGUCCAUAUAAUUUGAAUGCACCAAACAAACUCCCACUAUCUGGACCCUUGAUUCUUGUCUAACUGGAAUGCUGCAGGCUAUCACUGCAUUAGUGGAGUUGAUGCAGACUGCCAUUAAGCUCUCUUCUCGAUCAAGUACUCCAUGCUCACGAAUAUAUGUUAAAAUUAUUAAGGACUGGUAUAGAACCCGUAGAUGUAAGGGGAAAAUUGGUCAAUUGACCUGGUAAAUGCUAGCAAGUUGGUAUGUAAUAGGUAUCCACAAAACAGCCACCCAAAUCAUGUUUAACUAUGAAUAAAGAAAAUGUUAGCACAGUUAAUGUUCUUUGACUGUCUUGAUACUUCAUGCUUAUGAUGCAUAUGCCUAUUAGUUAGGAAUGCACUUAAUCUGACAGAUUAAAGCUAAAUAUAAAUACUAUGCAGAAAAACUUAUGCAGACAACAGUAGCAUCUCAGAUAAAAUACUCGAGAAAAGCACCAGAAGCAAACAGAAUAAGAGCAGACCAAAAAACUGACCAAAGAGUACACUAAGAUAUACCUAAAAGCUGCAUCAAUAUGCAUUGCAAAAGCAUCAUCAAGGAGAUACUAAACUCAUAUUCACAUCCAUGCCGACUUUCAGCAUCUACCUAGAAAAAGAACAUGUAACAGUAAUAUUGGUAAAGUCCUACCCAGCAAAGAUGAAAAACAUCAGUUAAUGAAUUCUUAUAGUGGUAGGUCACUGAAAAAGAAGAAAAGAAUGAACUACAUGAAAGACUAAAUGAUGGGGAAAUAUGCACGGCGAGAAUUAGAUCAGUUCAGUGCACGAGAUAUGCCCCGUAAAAGUGAUCACCACAUUCUUAGCUAGUUAAAGUGUUGCUUAAAUGAAGUCAUUUUCUGGAUUCCAAAGAUAUCGGACUGGCAUCCAAUAAAUGCCAUCUCAAUGUACUACAAAAGCCAAAGUUACCAUAGAAAUUUCAGUUUACUAUCACAAGUUUGAGAUUUGGUUCAAAAUGCCAUCUCUAUUGAGAUAAUCCGCCACUCAAGUGAAAUUGCAUGUCAUCCUAGAGUUAAACAAUAUGGCAAAAACUAUUUUUACCCCUAGCCACUAUUCUGGAAAGCUAGAGUAGACAAUCACGUUUCUAAUAAUUUUCAUGGGCAAGGAGUGAUGGAUGAAAAGCAGCAUGGAUAGAGAAGCACGUGCCAUUUUUUUCAUUUUAAUUUUUUCAUCACUUAACCAUGCAAAAUAAUGAGCAGCCCGAAUGGCAUCCCAUAAGAUGCGUGACUUCAUCAUGUGACAAAUUAACUGAAGUUGAUAUGGAGAUGAACACAAUGGAUUAACAUCCAUAUCUCAGGAAAAAAUCGAAGAAUUGUUUCAAGGGUACUAAGAUACUACAAGAAACUGAUGAAACAAUUACUAUUUAUUGACUUGAAUAUGUGGACUCUGCCUCAAAUAAUUCGUCAUAACUUUUUUUUAUCAAGAAUCAAUUCAGCCAAAUUUCGGUUAAGACAAAGAAAAUGCAAAAACAAAACAGUAAUCUCAAACAUUUUAUACAGGACAAAUAUAUUCUGAAACUAUGUGAAAGUGAAUUAUAUGCUAACAUAAGUUUGAACUUUAAGGUGUUUAACAUAUGUUAAAUACAAAAAAAUCAAAAUUUUUAGUGAUCCGAUAACAUCAACAUCUACUACAAUAAUGGUACUACAAUAAUAACAUCAACAUCUACUAUUUAUUGACUUGAAUAUGUGGCCUCUGCCUCAAAUAAUUCGUCAUAACUUUUUUUUAUCAAGAAUCAAUUCAGCCAAAUUUCGAUUAAGACAAAAAAAAAAUGCAAAAACAAAACAGUAAUCUCAAACAUUUUAUACAGGACAAAUAUAUUCUGAAACUAUGUGAAAGUGAAUUAUAUGCUCACAGAAGUUUGAACUUUAAGGUGUUUAACAUAUGUUAAAUACAAAAAAGUCAAAAAUUUUAAAAGGAUAUAACUAUCGAUUAGUAUUGUAUGAUGCAAUUAAAUUUAUAAUCUAGUCAAAAUAUAACAAUACAUCCAAAAAAAUUCACGGCAUCAUGAACUAUGCACACACCUUAUCACAAGAGUCCACAUCUAUAAAAAGCUUUCCAAAAGGAAGUAUAGCAAAGACAAAGGUUAGGUGUUGCUUCUUGUCCUAGCAUGUGGUUUAUACUUACGUAUAAGGUAAAAUGCAUUUACUUUAAUAAUAUGGGAGCAACAUUUUCUAAGAGAAAAUAUAAACAGGUAAUACUAAUAGGAUCACUAAGAUUUUGCCAUCUUAUGUGAUCCGAUAACAUCAACAUCUACUACAAUAAUGGUACCUCAGCCCUCUUUGUUUCUACCUACCAAUAUGAAUCAAUUUCCCAAAUUCAGGCAAUAGGAUCAUGUGGUCAGAAUCAAAAUUUUAACAACAUAUAGUAAACUAGAACUUAACUAUGGAUUGGAAUAGGGAGAAACACAAAUUGAAUGAAAAACCAAACUACACCACUUUCCGAAGAUCUUUUCCUUCUCUCGUGAAUCAAACAUCAAUUGCAACGAUUUGAUGGAUGACUCAUUUGGAUAGAUGUAGAUGACCCCCCCCUCCCCCCGAAAAAAAACCCUCUAGAGACAUAGUAAGAAGUUUUCUCCUCAUACUGCUCAAGAAAAAUGAUUGAUUCGAGGUUUGGUCGGUGUAAUCUGUAUGGAAUUCUAUCUAAUAAACGACAAAUGGGUCCAUAAAUUGAAUGCAAACACAUAACUUUGGGCAUCAUAUUAGUUACUGAGAAGCAAAAAUUUCCAUGGUUUAACUUUAGAUUUUUUUGUGUGGAGCAAGAAAGUAUUUAAACAAAUAAAUUAACUAUACAAGAUGAAUUCUUACUUGCAAUGAAGAAGCCUAAUUUAUUUAUUUAUUUAUUUUCAUGAUGGUGGUUUGUGGAGCAACUUAGAGUGCGUUUGGGCAUAAAAAAAAAUUCCUUUUUUUCCGAAAAAAUUUCACUUUUUUCGAAAUCAGCGUUUGUUCGUAAAAUUUUCAAUUUUCACUUGAAGAUGCAUUUUGGAAAUUUUUGAAAAUUUGAAAACUCUAAAAAGUUGUUUUUCAAAAUUUUCACUCAAAUCACUCACAAAACUUCAAAAACAACCCAAACUGAAAUUUUAUGUCCAAACACAACUCUAAAUUUCAAAUACCAUUUUCACUUGAAAAAAAAUUUCACCAUUUUUUGGAAUUUUACAAUUCUUAUGUCCAAACGCCUACUUAGGCCAUCUUGACUAAUUCAUCGGGUUUAUGUUAUCUCCCACCAACAUAGGUGUCAGAUAAUUCGCACAAAGAACUCACCUAGUGUCGUCUUUGCUGGAGUCGAACAUUGGUUCUCAAUUUUGUCACUCCAACUCUUUGAUGGCAAGACGACUCCCCUUUGAAGCUAUAGGGGCCUUAUUUCAUUAUAGCGCAAGAAUAAAGAAAGACCAAAGAUCUGAUAUAAUCAAUAUAGGGAAAGUCUAUUGGAUUACGAGAUCCUACAUCACUAACUUGAAGGAAAAAAAAAACUUGCAAUAUGUCAAAGACUCCCAAUCAAGGGUACCUUGGCGUCGAAAAGUUUACUAGAUGCGAGUUGGUAUUCUAGUCCAUCUUCUAGUACCAGACCAUUGUUGUGAAGCUGCCCGUGUUCUUUUAAUAUGUGAAGCCACUUGAAGUUACAUGGGCUCGUACCAUCGGCGGAUUGAAUGUACAUGUUGUGAGUUCUAAAAGAUAUAUAUCUAACUCUAUCUAUACUUGGUUUUCUUUCUAUACUUGUUUUUCAUACAUAGAGUUCGUGAGUUAACAUAUUUCCAAAGGAUUAUUAUUUCAGAUAAUGUCCACAGGAAGGAAAAUGCACCACCUACACAACCAUAUAGCAGAGCACCAAGAUUAUACCACACAGGCAUAAAGCAUGAUUAUCUCCUGCUCUAACGUACAACCAUUUUAUAUAUCAAUAUAUGGUUCUUCAAACUGGAAUGAUAUAUCAAUAGCAAUAAACGAAACAGAAAAACAAACAAAAAAAAAGAAAAGUUUACAUGUGACAACAAAUAUGCAGGCACCAAAUAUUCAACAACCAUCAGUACUGUACCACUAGUAAAACUAAUACUCCAGUACUCCUAAAGCUUAACAUUGAAUACAAAAAUGAUGCUUCUUAGAAUCCUUAAAGAAAUGAAACUCCAACAACUCUGAGCACAGGUGGAUCCAACCCUCGGGUUUGAACAUAUGUGUGUGUGCGCGCGCUCUCUCUCUCACUGAAUUCAAAACUGAAUCAACAUAUGUGAGUAAGCUAGAGUUUUUACGAGCAAAAAGUAAUAAAACUAAAUAGUGCGUGCUACAAAAGCAAAUUAUUUGAUCGACUACUAUACAAUGAAAGAAGCGACAUAACGGACCUGAAAAAACGAAGCGAUGGCUUUUCCGUAGUUGCUAAAGUCGUGAUUACAAAUGAUGUAUAUUUCCCAACUUAAGAUCUGCAAAAGUUCCAAAAAGAAACAAAACAUUAAAAUAAAAAGGGAUACAAGUUAACAAAAAUUAUGUUACUAGCAAAAGAAUUAUGUAAAAAGCCUAAAGAUAUUGAAUUUCGCAUUUGUGAUGUCAGCUGUGUUCUCUUGCGGAGCUUUUCUCAGGAAAUAAACAGCAAAAGCUGAAUUGAAUCACGCCAUUAGCAUGCAUUACAAUUUCAUAUAGUGAUUGAUUGAACGAAAGAAGAAGAACGUUUAACAGAAAUUGCAAUUGCGUACUAAAUCAAACAAAUUGAGUAGAAGAUGUACGGAAUUUUGAAGAAAGAGAGAAGGAUUUUCGAUUGCAUUUCGCUUCAGAAAGGGAGACAGGAAGAGUUGCGUUAAUACCUAACAGUAAAAGAGGUUCGAUAGAGAUGGCGAGAGCGGUCAGAGAAGAUUGAAUGGGCA
rnacentral:lncRNA from 1 species